rnacentral:rRNA from 1 species
GACGAACGCUGGCGGCGUGCUUAACACAUGCCAGUCGAACGGAAAGGCCCUGCUUUUGUGGGGUGCUCGAGUGGCGAACGGGUGAGUAGUACGUGAGUAACCUGCCCUUGACUUUGGGAUAACUUCAGGAAACUGGGGCUAAUACCGGAUAGGAGCUCCUGCUGCAUGGUGGGGGUUGGAAAGUUUCGGCGGUUGGGGAUGGACUCGCGGCUUAUCAGCUUGUUGGUGGGGUAGUGGCUUACCAAGGCUUUGACGGGUAGCCGGCCUGAGAGGGUGACCGGCCACAUUGGGACUGAGAUACGGCCCAGACUCCUACGGGAGGCAGCAGUGGGGAAUAUUGCACAAUGGGCGGAAGCCUGAUGCAGCAACGCCGCGUGCGGGAUGACGGCCUUCGGGUUGUAAACCGCUUUCGCCUGUGACGAAGCGUGAGUGACGGUAAUGGGUAAAGAAGCACCGGCUAACUACGUG